AGGCCUUGCCGUAAUGGAAAGGGUGGUGGCUACCACCACAUCAAUUCGGUCCACGGAGAAGGGAUUGAACUGCUUGUCUGGCCGGCGCAUGAACUCAUGCUUGAGGAGGCUUAGCAACACUAGGCAGCACCCAUGGGAUCCGGAGACCAGAAGCACCCCCUGUCCAGAGAGGUCAGCAGUGAGGCUGCCAGGCCCACCUGUCAGAUUUCUAGAAGGGCAAGUAAGAAGAGGGGAUUGCUAGCCAAUACCCCUUCCCCAUGCCCAGCCCAGCCCAAUAAGCUCACUAGGAAGUGAAGAUCUCAUCUAUUUCUGGCCGAGGACAGAGGCUCAUGAGGAAGCUCUUGAAGACAGAUUCUGGGAGGUCCUCUGGAUUGAUAGUAUC